rnacentral:tRNA from 1 species
GACACGAUGGCCGAGUGGUUAAGGCGAUUGACUAGAAAUCAAUUGGGGUUCCCCCGCGCAGGUUCGAAUCCUGCUCGUGUCG